UAUGAUCUGCCUACAAAUGUAGAUGACACAGUUAUUGCAUAUCUAGUUUUUAUUUGAAAAACAAACUGUCAAUAUAUUCUAAAAUUUACUUAAAUGCACUAUUCAAACUAGAUUGGCAUGAUGAUUGCAAUGCCUACUCCUACUCCUUUUUUAACACAGCAGGUUUCUAUUAAAUCGUUUGCUGCAGAGCUGGCCUAGAUGCACUGCUCUGGGCUAUACCAGUCUGCCUUUUUUCAGAUCCUGCAUUUUCUGUUCUGUAUGCUAGUGAGAAGGUCGUGCUUACCUUAAGCCUAAAGCUUGGCAUGACAUCAUUGUAAAGCAAGAUUGCUAUCAAGAGCAGCAUUUAUCACAAGGAACAUUUCAGUCUCAUUUAAAAAGACUCAAAGCAACUGAAGUAUCUAAGCUAAUUUACACAAGUCUCCAAGAAUGGAAAACAAGCCUCCGGCAUAGGCUGUAAUCUGCUUCUAAAGGGAACGAAAUUUCUGAAAUGGAGAUAAGGCGGUAAGGAGUGAU
rnacentral:lncRNA from 1 species